UACGUAGGGUGCGAGCGUUAAUCGGAAUUACUGGGCGUAAAGUGUGCGCAGGCGGCGUUGCAAGUCGAGUGUGAAAUCCCCGAGCUUAACUUGGGAAUUGCGCUCGAAACUACGAUGCUCGAGUGUGGCAGAGGAAGGUGGAAUUCCACGUGUAGCGGUGAAAUGCGUAGAGAUCUGGAGGAACACCGAUGGCGAAGGCAGCCUUCUGGGCCAACACUGACGCUCAUGCACGAAAGCGUGGGGAGCAAACAGG
rnacentral:rRNA from 1 species